CAGAAGACAAACUUAGCUAUUAAAAGACUGCAUACUGCUUCAAAAGACUAAAUAUUGCUUCCAGAAGACUAAAUAUUCCUUUCAGAAGGCAAACUUGGCUGCCAAAAGACUAGAUACUGCUUCUAAAGACUAAAACAUUGCUUCCAGUAGAUUAAAACUAAUACCAAAAGAUUAACUACUGCUUUUAGAAGACUAAAUAUUCAAUAAGCGAGCAAUUGCUCUUAAAACUGUUAAUAUCCGUUCUAAACCAUCCAAAUCGGGAGGAUCAAUGUCAGUUAUAUCUACGCUUCAAAUACGAAGUUUCAUUCAGAUUAGUGAAGAAUUAAAGAAGAUAUGAAUAAAAUAAGUUUUGGAAUUUUGAUUUUUUUGACAUCUGUCAUUAUUGACGUUAACGAAUUUAAAAAUAGAAAUCUGUAAUUUAAACUCCGGUGUUCUUACAUUUUUCAUCUUCAUUACAGUUCUUGUUUCAUCUCGAAGGAUGGCAGUUCUACCUUUGGUUCAGCAGUUUGUAUCACCCCUCUCUCCGUUUCCGAAUCAUCAUUGUUAUCCACAUUCAGUAAUUCCUCGAAUUUGGACGCUUCG